AGCAGCGGGCGGCGGCCCACACCGUCGCUCCAAGCUCCCAGCAGGGUGGACGAGAAGAGCCCCACCAGGAAGCCGCCCACGUUCAUGUAGAGGGUCCAGUGGGAGGCUAGCCGAUAUUAACCAUCGCUAUCUACCGUUGAGGAAACGAGGUCAGCGGGUACUCAAGGCAGAGCUGGAAGAGCACAUGACUCCUGAUGCUGCUGAUGUUCUGCACUGUAACAGAAAGGCAGCUGGAGAGGAUCAGAGUGGGCUGAGCCCAGCUGCCUGGGUUGGAACACCUAGGCUCUGCCACUACCUUGGGCAUGCCACUUACCGCCCUGAGCCUCUGUUUUUUCGUCUGUAAAAUGGAGUUGCUAACAAAACAUGUCUCAAAAAGUUGUGGAAAAACAGUGUCUGGUAUAUUCAAAGUGCUAUUAUUGUUAUUAACAGGCUGUCACGUCUGGGAGUGGUGGCUUACACCUGUAAUCCCAGCCCUUGGGGAGGCUGAGGCGCAUGGAUCGCUUGAGCCCAGGAGUUUGAGACCAACCUGGGCAACAUGGUAAAACCCUGUCUCUACAAAAAAUACACAAAAAUUAGCCAGGUGUAGUAGCAGAUACCUGUAGUCCCAGGUACUCGGGAAGCUGAGGUGGGAGGAUCAAUUGAGCCCGGGAGGCAGAGGUAGCAGUGAGCUGAGAUCGCACCACUGUACUCCAGCCUGGGUGACACAGCAAGACCCUGUCUCAAAAAAUAUAAAAUAAAAAUAAAAUAAAAAACAA